UUGUAUCUACAGCCGUUUUGGAGUUAUUCAACUGUUUUUCGGUACAUUAAAAAAAAUCUUGAUACAGUCAAAGGCUUCACAAAAAUCCCAAUAUCUUUGAAACUACUGUAAGGAUUUUAUUGAUUUUAGUUUCAUAUGAAAGCCAUUGAGUUUCUUUACCAAAAAGGUCCUUACAAGUUUCCUUGUAUCUACAGCCCUUUUGGAGUUAUUCAAGUGUUUUUCGGUACAUUAAAAAAAAUCUUGAUACAGUCAAAGGCUUCACAAAAAUCCCAAUAUCUUUGAAACUACUGUAAGGAUUUUAUUGAUUUUAGUUUCAUAUGAAAGCCAUUGAGUUUCUUUACCAAAAAGGUGCUUAUAAGUUUCCUUGCAUCUACAGCCCUUUUGGAGUUAUUCAACUGUUUUUCGGUACAUUAAAAAAAUCUUGAUACAGUCAAAGGCUUUACAAAAAUCCCAAUAUCUUUGAAACUACUGUAAGGAUUUUAUUGAUUUUAGUUUCAUAUGAAAGCCAGUGAGUUUCUUUACCAAAAAGGUCCUUACAAGUUUCCUUGUAUCUACAGCCCUUUUGGAGUUAUUCAACUGUUUUUCGGUACAUUAAAAAAAAUCUUGAUACAGUCAAAGGCUUCACAAAAAUCCCAAUAUCUUUGAAACUACUGUAAGGAUUUUAUUGAUUUUAGUUUCAUAUGAAAGCCAGUGAGUUUCUUUACCAAAAAGGUCCUUACAAGUUUCCUUGUAUCUACAGCCCUUUUGGAGUUAUUCAACUGUUUUUCAGUACAUUAAAAAAAAUCUUGAUACAGUCAAAGGCUUUACAAAA